rnacentral:rRNA from 1 species
UACGUAGGGUGCAAGCGUUAAUCGGAAUUACUGGGCGUAAAGCGUGCGCAGGCGGUUAUAUAAGACAGUUGUGAAAUCCCCGGGCUCAACCUGGGAACCUGCAUCUGUGACUGUAUAGCUAGAGUACGGUAGAGGGGGAUGGAAUUCCGCGUGUAGCAGUGAAAUGCGUAGAUAUGCGGAGGAACACCGAUGGCGAAGGCAAUCCCCUGGACCUGUACUGACGCUCAUGCACGAAAGCGUGGGGAGCAACAGG